UACGUAGGGGGCAAGCGUUGUCCGGAAUCAUUGGGCGUAAAGCGCGUGUAGGCGGCCCGAUAAGUCCGCUGUGAAAGUCCAGGGCUCAACCCUGGGAUGCCGGUGGAUACUGUCGGGCUAGAGUCCGGAAGAGGAGAGUGGAAUUCCUGGUGUAGCGGUGAAAUGCGCAGAUAUCAGGAAGAACACCUAUGGCGAAGGCAGCUCGCUGGGACGUUACUGACGCUGAGACGCGAAAGCGUGGGGAGCAAACAGG
rnacentral:rRNA from 1 species